rnacentral:tRNA from 1 species
GGUUCCAUGGUGUAGUGGUUAGCACGUCUGCUUUACACGCAGAAGGUCUUGGGUUCAAGCCCCAGCAGACCCA